UUUUAGCCCUGAUGGAAGUGGCAUCCUUUUUAUUUUUUUCUUAAAAAAAUAAAAAGAUAGAACGGACAGCAGGAUAAAGC
rnacentral:sRNA from 1 species